rnacentral:rRNA from 1 species
UACGAGUGCCCCAAGCGUUAUCCGGAAUUAUUGGGUGUAAAGGGUGCGUAGGUGGUUUUGUUAGUCUUGUGUUAAAACCCGGAGCUUAACUCCGGAGCUGCACAAGAAACGGCAAAACUAGAGGGUGUGAGAGGUCUGUAGAACUCAUGGUGUAGGGGUGAAAUCCGUUGAUAUCAUGGGGAAUACCAAAAGCGAAGGCAGCAGACUGGCACAUUCCUGACAUUGAGGCACGAAAGCGUAGGUAGCGAAUGGG